UGGUGGGUAGCUCAGUGGAUAGAGCGCCUAAAUAUCCUUAUUCACCCCUUGCCUGAAAAGGCCGACGAAUCGAGGGUUAUCGCCUGCCAAGCGGGAGGUCGCGGGUUCAAUUCCCGCUCCACUAG
rnacentral:tRNA from 1 species